GAUGAACGCUAGCGGCAGGCCUAAUGCACGCAAGUCGAACGGGAUUAAGGAGCUUGCUUCUUAUGAGAGUGGCGCACGGGUGCGUAACACGUAUGCAACCUACCUUUAACUGGGGGAUAGCCUUCCGAAAGGAAGAUUAAUACCGCAUAACAUAAUGGAAUGGCAUCAUUUUAUUAUCAAACUAAUUGGGUUAAAGAUGGGCAUGCGUCCGAUUAGCUAGUUGGUACGGUAACGGCGUACCAAGGCGACGAUCGGUAGGGGAUCUGAGAGGAUGGCCCCCACACUGGUACUGAGACACGGACCAGACUCCUACGGGAGGCAGCAGUAAGGAAUAUUGGUCAAUGGACGCAAGUCUGAACCAGCCAUGCCGCGUGCAGGAAGACGGUCCUCUGGAUUGUAAACUGCUUUUGUUAGGGAAGAAACCCUCGGAUGCGUUCGAGGCUGACGGUACCUAAAGAAUAAGGAUCGGCUAACUCCGUGCCAGCCGCCGCCGUAAAAC
rnacentral:rRNA from 1 species